CCGCCGGCGCCAGCGCGGGCGCCGCCGCAGCCGUCCCCUUGGAUCUCCGGGCGACCUUCCAGAGAGCUGAGUGGAGCUGGCUCUGCGGGCCCAUGGCGCGUGGCGCCCGGGAAGCGCGUCGAGCUCCUCCCCAAACUGCUGGGAGUCGUGGAGCUCUCCCGACUGCGGCCUCGGAUCCCGGCGCAGAAGCUCAGAGAGCGCCGUCGCGUGUUUGUGUUGAGGUCUCUAAACCGAAAAGGGGUCCUGGCUGGAAAUCACCCCUAGUCCUUGUGCUGCUAAUCUCGGCUCUUCAUAGGCAGCUACACAUGGGCUCCAGGCACACAGAAGGUGCAGCUUGAGGGUGACCCCAGCCCCACUUAAGUGCCUGCCUGAGAAAACUCAAGGCUGCCAAAAGAAUUCAGCAUUUGUUCCAGCCACCACCUGAAGACAGGAUCUCUUCCCCCAGCGUCUCUAGGAGGGGAGGUGCCUGACUUCCACAACUUCUGGUUAGCAGUCCCAAGUGAGUCUCCAACUCUCCCUUCCCGAUUUUUAAAAAAUGUUUCACUCCCUGGCUGCUGAGCUGUCACUCACGCACAGCCCCAUUCCCUCUUUAAACUGCCCAGUCACUUCCGUACAAAUUCAGGGUGAGUUCAUUUCAUGCUGGGUGCUUUUCCCUAUUGCAAUAUAUUAUUGAUUAAAAUCUGUCCUGACCACUUUACAUAGUGUCCAGCUUUGUUUACCUUUGGCAUAAACCUGGGGAAACUUUAUAACCAAACAGCCAUGGAAAGUGGCCUAUGGUGCACAGACUUUAAAGACAUUUUUGACUUUGGUGGCCACUUGGGGCGAAGCUUCCGGUCCUCAUGAUACUCUAGACCUGGUUGUUGUCUUCUUAGGAAUAUUGUUAAAAUAAAAAAAAUGGGAAGAACCUAACUUAGGUCAGACAGGGAGGGGUAUUUAGAAAUAAACAUAAAAAGAAAUAUGUGAAUAAACUUCAUAUGAAUAAAAAAUUUAGUUUCCCAAAGUUACUGGGAUUUUCUUCCAUGUGACAUUUCCCUAAAUGAAAAAGACAGAGAGCUAGAGGCUUGAUGGGCACAUUUUUCUUUUUAAUAAUUCUCUUUGUAGUCCCCAAAGCAUGACACAUAAUUAAUUUGCCUCUUAUUGCUUACCUUCUAAUAAUAAUUCUGGUUAUGAAUUAGGGUUAACAAUGGUGGGAAGUGGAAACCUAGUCAUUGAUUAGAUCUACUUAUGCUAUUGAUUUUCUUUGUUUCUUAAUGUGUCAUUUUCCUGACAGUAAACAAGAAGUAUCACCUAUUCAGUAAGUGGAUUUCUGUUUAUGAAAUAAGUUGGCCAAUGGGCUGCUUGCUGCUUGCUUCAUACUCAGAGGUUUUCUGAAUUGGAGACUUGAAGGAUGAGUAGGGAUUUGGAGGGAAACAAGAGGUGGAUGAGUUACAGGCAGAGGGGAAGUCCAGGCAAAGUCCCCGAAAAGGGAAGAACAGUGAUGCUUAAGGAAUGAUGCACAAUACGGUUCCCGUUUUGCAGGACACGCACAACGUCAGGCAGCUCCCAUAUCACCGCCAGGUAAAUAUCGUCUUCCUUACCCUUG